CCUACGGGAGGCAGCAGUGAGGAAUAUUGGUCAAUGGACGAGAGUCUGAACCAGCCAAGUAGCGUGAAGGAUGACUGCCCUAUGGGUUGUAAACUUCUUUUAUAUGGGAAUAAAAUGUUCCACGUGUGGGAUUUUGUAUGUACCAUAUGAAUAAGGAUCGGCUAACUCCGUGCCAGCAGCCGCGGUAAUACGGAGGAUCCGAGCGUUAUCCGGAUUUAUUGGGUUUACAGGGAGCGUAGGGGGAUUGUUAAGUCAGUUGUGAAAGUUUGCGGCUCAACCGUAAAAUUGCAGUUGAAACGGGCAGUCUUGAUUACAGUAGCGGUGGGCGGAAUUCGUGGUGUAGCGGUUACAUUCUUAGCUAUCACGAAGAACUCCGAUUGCGAAGGCAGCUCACUGGACUGCACCUGCCACUGAGGCUCGACAGUGUGGGUAUCAAACAGGAUUAGCUACCCUAGUAGUC
rnacentral:rRNA from 1 species